GGGAUAAUGACAAUGCUGAGAAGAGUAUGUUGGGGGAAAUUCUCAAGAGGAAGUCCCAGGAAGGUGUGAGAGUACUGUUGCUCAUAUGGGAUGAUCCUACUUCUAAGAGCAUUUUGGGAUACAAAACUGAAGGAAUAAUGGGAACUAAUGAUGAAGAAACUCGUCGCUAUUUUAAGCAUUCUUCAGUGCAAGUGCUACUAUGUCCUCGUUCUGCUGGAAAAGGACACAGCUGGGCCAAAAAGCAGGAAACUGAAACAAUAUACACACAUCAUCAGAAAACUGUAAUAUUGGAUGCAGAUGCUGGUAAUUACCAGAGAAAGAUUAUGGCUUUUGUUGGGGGACUUGAUUUGUGCAAAGGACGUUAUGAUACUCCAGCACACCCUAUCUUUAGAACGUUGCAAAAUGUGCACAAGGAUGACUUUCAUCAGCCUAACUACACGGGCCCUACUACUGGUUGUCCUAGGGAACCUUGGCAUGAUUUGCAUAGUCGGAUCGAGGGGCCUGCUGCAUAUGAUGUCCUAACUAACUUUGAGGAGCGCUGGUUGAAGGCUUCAAAGCGCCAUGGACUUCAAAAGAUGAAAGCUUCACAUGAUGAUGCAUUACUCAAACUUGACAGGAUUCCUGAUAUUUUGGGAAUAGCUGAUGUCCCUUGCCUAAGAGAAGAUGAUGCAGAUACGUGGCACGUCCAGAUUUUCCGGUCAAUCGACUCCAACUCUGUUAAAGGUUUCCCCAAAGAUCCCAAAGAAGCCACUAACAUGAAUCUAGUGUGUGGUAAGAAUGUGCUGAUAGACAUGAGCAUACAUACUGCCUAUGUAAAGGCAAUUCGAGCUGCCCAGCAUUUCAUCUACAUCGAGAAUCAGUACUUCCUAGGGUCUUCCUAUAAUUGGAGUAACUACCAAAAUUUAGGUGCAAAUAACUUGAUACCAAUGGAAAUUGCUCUUAAAAUUGCCAACAAAAUACGAGCAAAUGAGAGGUUUGCAGCAUAUAUAGUUCUUCCUAUGUGGCCAGAGGGUAAUCCGACCAGUACUCCUACUCAGAGAAUACUUUUUUGGCAGUACAAUACUAUGCAGAUGAUGUAUGAAACUAUUUACAAAGCUUUACAAGAGGUAGGACUGGAAAACACAUAUGAACCCCAGGACUAUUUGAUGUUCUUCUGCCUUGGCAAUCGUGAGGUCCCGGAAAAUGGAAUCACUACAGUUGUCAGAAGUUCGAAGCCAAAUACACCUCAGGAACUCACUCAGAAAAGUCGACGUUUUAUGAUCUAUGUCCACUCAAAAGGAAUGAUAGUAGACGAUGAGUAUGUCAUAAUGGGAUCUGCAAACAUCAAUCAACGUUCUCUGGAAGGCACCAGAGAUACUGAAAUUGCAAUGGGCGCGUAUCAGCCUCAUCAUACAUGGGCAAACAAACACUCUGGACCACACGCGCAGGUAUACGGAUAUAGAAUGUCACUGUGGGCAGAGCACACGGGAACUCUAGAGCAAUGUUUUGAACAUCCAGAGAGCCUUGAAUGCGUGAGACGGAUAAGAGUAUUUGGUGAACACAACUGGCUACAAUACGCGGCUGAUGAAGUAACUGAAAUGAAAGGCCACCUUCUUAAGUAUCCUGUUGAAGUUGAUCGAACGGGGAAAGUCAGGUCACUUCCUGGUUGUGAAACUUUUCCAGAUAUUGGAGGGAAGAUAAUAGGUACAUUCACUGGUGUUCAAGAAAAUCUCACCAUCUGAUCUAAGGGAUUUACCAGAAUCCUCAUUCUGCAGCCUGAGAUUAAUUCUUUUAUACUGUUUCUGCACCAAUUGUGAAUUGGUGUUUCCUUAGUGUUGGUUAUACAAACUAGAAUGAAAAAAAAGGUGUUUUUUGUAUUUUGAAUAUUUUGACUCUG
rnacentral:misc_RNA from 1 species